rnacentral:rRNA from 1 species
AAUAGAUACCCGGGUAGUCCACGCCGUAAACGAUGAGUGCUAAGUGUUAGAGGGUUUCCGCCCUUUAGUGCUGAAGUUAACGCAUUAAGCACUCCGCCUGGGGAGUACGGCCGCAAGGCUGAAACUCAAAGGAAUUGACGGGGGCCCGCACAAGCGGUGGAGCAUGUGGUUUAAUUCGAAGCAACGCGAAGAACCUUACCAGGUCUUGACAUCCUCUGACAACCCUAGAGAUAGGGCUUCUCCUUCGGGAGCAGAGUGACAGGUGGUGCAUGGUUGCCGUCAGCUCGUGUCGUGAGAUGUUGGGUUAAGUCCCGCAACGAGCGCAACCCUUGAUCUUAGUUGCCAUCAUUCAGUUGGGCACUCUAAGGUGACUGCCGGUGACAAACCGGAGGAAGGUGGGGAUGACGUCAAAUCAUCAUGCCCCUUAUGACCUGGGCUACACACGUGCUACAAUGGACGGUACAAAGAGCUGCAAGACCGCGAGGUGGAGCUAAUCUCAUAAAACCCGUUCUCAGUUCGGA